UAGGUGGGAGGCUUUGAAGUGUGGACGCCAGUCUGCAUGGAGCCGACCUUGAAAUACCACCCUUUAAUGUUUGAUGUUCUAACGUGGACCCGUGAUCCGGGUUGCGGACAGUGUCUGGUGGGUAGUUUGACUGGGGCGGUCUCCUCCUAAAGAGUAACGGAGGAGCACGAAGGUUGGCUAAUCCUGGUCGGACAUCAGGAGGUUAGUGCAAUGGCAUAAGCCAGCUUGACUGCGAGCGUGACGGCGCGAGCAGGUGCGAAAGCAGGUCAUAGUGAUCCGGUGGUUCUGAAUGGAAGGGCCAUCGCUCAACGGAUAAAAGGUACUCCGGGGAUAACAGGCUGAUACCGCCCAAGAGUUCAUAUCGACGGCGGUGUUUGGCACCUCGAUGUCGGCUCAUCACAUCCUGGGGCUGAAGUAGGUCCCAAGGGUAUGGCUGUUCGCCAUUUAAAGUGGUACGCGAGCUGGGUUUAGAACGUCGUGAGACAGUUCGGUCCCUAUCUGCCGUGGGCGCUGGAGAACUGAGGGGGGCUGCUCCUAGUACGAGAGGACCGGAGUGGACGCAUCACUGGUGUUCGGGUUGUCAUGCCAAUGGCACUGCCCGGUAGCUAAAUGCGGAAGAGAUAAGUGCUGAAAGCAUCUAAGCACGAAACUUGCCCCGA
rnacentral:rRNA from 3 species